CCUGUGACCUUGGCCCCCCCAGGCCAGGCGGCACCAGGAGUCCCUGCAGCAGCUGAGAGAGCAGCUGGAGGUGGCAACGCAGGAGAAGCUGGGACUGCAGGAGGCGCUGAGACGGAGCAGUGAGGACUGUGCCAAGCAGGUAUUGGUGCUGCUGGAUCAGAUCCAGAAGUCGGAGCAGCUGCUGCAGAACCUGCAGGCAACCGUGUCCCAGACCCAGUACCGAACCCAGGAGCAGAUAGCCGACCUGGCAUCAUCUCACAAGCGACUGAGCUACGAGGUGCAGCGAUUGAGCGAGGAGAAUGAGGGGCUGCGGGGCUCCCGGCCCCCCCUGACCCCCGCUGAGGAGCUGCCACUGACGAGCUCUGUGCAGGACCUGCAGGC